rnacentral:rRNA from 1 species
GAGGGAAAGUUGAAAAGAACUUUGAAGAGAGAGUUCAAGAGGACGUGAAACCAUCGGUGGUGAAGCGGAUAGAGUUGAUGAAGCUGGUGGCAUUCAUCGGUGCCUGCGUGCUUCGCUUUGCGUUGCGCCUGGCUUCGUGCAUUUGCCUGCGGCAUACGCUGAGGCGGUUGGUUGCCCCUUCUGAAAUGUGCGGCGUUGCCCACCUUCGGGUGGUGUCUUGUCGUGCGUGGAGGUUGUUUGUGGUGGCUAGCUGUGCGAAAGCGCGGAUCCGGCCUUUGCGCGAUUGUCUGCUAGCGUGCGUUCGGUUUCGGCGGUGGCUUGCCACCUGUCGUUGCUGUGGCGUUCGUGUGGUGGGCGGUUGCUCAUUGGAUUCGUUCUCGGUGUGAAAAGUCGACCACCUAUCCGACCCGUCUUGAAACACGGACCAAGAAGUGUAGCAUUUGCGCGAGUCAUUGGGUGUUAAACCUAUUGGCGUAAUGAAAGUAAAGCUGGCCUUGCGUCAGUGAUAUGUGAUCCGUGCGCCCUUGGGCGUGCGGCGCAACAUAGCCCCAUGCCGGCUGCUUGCAGCGGUGUGGAGGUAGAGCGUAAAUG